rnacentral:misc_RNA from 1 species
GAUGAAGAACGCAGUGAAAUGCGAUAAGUAAUGUGAAUUGCAGAAUUCAGUGAAUCAUCGAAUCUUUGAACGCACAUUGCGCCCGGUAGUAUUCUGCCGGGCAUGCCUGUUCGAGCGUCAUUUCAACCAUCAAGCCCCAGCGCUUGUGUUGGGGGCCUGCGGCUGCCGCAGCCCCCUAAAAGCAGUGGCGGGCUCGCUAUCACACCGAGUGCAGUAGUUCAUCUUCUCUCCGGUCUUGUGAGGCGGGUUCCGGCCGUGAAACACCCCACUACAUUCAAGGUUGACCUCGGAUCAGGUAGGAAUACCCGCUGAACUUAAGCAUAUCAAUAAGCGGAGGA